GGCUCCUAUAGAAAAUUUUGUAUUAGAAAUCCUAGAAAAAAAAAUUAUUUAAUUUUUCUCUUCCACCCCUUCCGGAGGGAGGUGGACAUGUAUUUUUCUUAUUUGAUGUGUAUAGAAGAUUUUGCAUUGAAAAGUUUAGAAAACUUUUUAUUUUUUUUCUCUUUCACCUGUGUUCUGGACGAGGCGGACGGAUAGAGGCGGACAGAUUUUUGAGGGUGGAGUGAAAUGUUCAUGAUUAAGUAUUAGAGAAAAAAAAAAGAGAGAAGAAAGAUUUAGUUUUUGAGAAAAUCGGACUAUGACGUCCGGUAACUUGAGUGGA
rnacentral:lncRNA from 1 species